GACGAACGCUGGCGGCGUGCUUAACACAUGCAAGUCGAACGGUAAGGCCCUUCGGGGUACACAAGUGGCGAACGGGUGAGUAACACGUGGGUGAUCUGCCCUGCACUUCGGGAUAAGCCUGGGAAACUGGGUCUAAUACCGGAUAGGACAACUGCCUGCAUGGGUGGUGGUGGAAAGCUUUUGCGGUGUGGGAUGGGCCCGCGGCCUAUCAGCUUGUGGGUGGGGUGAUGGCCUACCAAGGCGACGACGGGUAGCCGGCCUGAGAGGGUGACCGGCCACACUGGGACUGGGAUACGGCCCAGACUCCUACGGGAGGCAGCAGUGGGGAAUAUUGCACAAUGGGCGCAAGCCUGAUGCAGCGACGCCGCGUGAGGGAUGACGGCCUUCGGGUUGUAAACCUCUUUCAGCACCGACGAAGCGCAAGUGACGGUAGGUGCAGAAGAAGGACCGGCCAACUACGUGCCAGCCGCCGCCGUAACAC
rnacentral:rRNA from 1 species